UACGUAGGGUGCGAGCGUUGUCCGGAAUUAUUGGGCGUAAAGCGCGCGCAGGUGGUUCUUUAAGUCUGAUGUGAAAGCCCACGGCUCAACCGUGGAGGGUCAUUGGAAACUGGGGAACUUGAGUGCAGAAGAGGAAAGUGGAAUUCCACGUGUAGCGGUGAAAUGCGUAGAGAUGUGGAGGAACACCAGUGGCGAAGGCGACUUUCUGGUCUGUAACUGACACUGAGGCGCGAAAGCGUGGGGAGCGAACAGG
rnacentral:rRNA from 1 species